UUAAGUUGAUCCUGGCUCAGAAUGAACGCUGGCGGCAUGGUUUAGGCAUGCAAGUCGUACGAGAAUCCCGCCUUCGGGCGGGAGGACAGUGGCGAAAGGGUGAGUAACACGUGAGUAUCUGCCUCCGGGUCGGGGACAGCCCGCGGAAACGCGGAUUAAUACCCGACGAACCCCUCGGGGUAAAGAGGAAUCGCCCGGAGAUGAGCUCGCGGNCCAUCAGCUGGUUGGCGGGGUAACGGCCCACCAAGGCGACGACGGGUAGGUGGUCUGAGAGGAUGGUCACCCACACUGGGACUGAGACACUGCCCAGACUCCUACGGGAGGCUGCAGUCGAGAAUCAUCCGCAAUGGGCGAAAGCCUGACGGUGCAAUGCCGCGUGGGGGAUGAAGGCCUUCGGGUCGUAAACCCCUGUCAGAAGGGACGAAGCAAGUGACGGUACCUUCAGAGGAAGCCACGGCUAACUACGUGCCAGCAGCCGCGGUAAUACGUAGGUGGCGAGCGUUAUUCGGAUUUACUGGGCGUAAAGGGUCCGCAGGGGGUUUGCCAAGUCCGGUGUGAAAGUCCAGGGCUCAAACCCUGGAACUGCGCCGGAUACUGGUGAACUGGAGUGCGCGAAGGGCAGGCGGAAUUCCUGGUGUAGCGGUGGAAUGCGUGGAUAUCAGGAAGAACACCGACGGCGAAAGCGGCCUGCUGGCGCGCCACUGACCCUCAUGGACGAAAGCGUGGGGAGCAAACAGGAUUAGAUACCCUGGUAGUCCACGCUGUAAACGGUGCAGACCCGAUGCGGGGGGCAGCCCCCUCCGUGUCCAAGCAACGCGUUAAGUCUGCCGNCUGGGGACUACGGUCGCAA
rnacentral:rRNA from 1 species